rnacentral:rRNA from 1 species
UGGGGAAUAUUGGACAAUGGGGGGAACCCUGAUCCAGCCAUGCCGCGUGUGUGAAGAAGGCCUUAUGGUUGUAAAGCACUUUAAGCGAGGAGGAGGCUACUGAGACUAAUACUCUUGGAUAGUGGACGUUACUCGCAGAAUAAGCACCGGCUAACUCUGUGCCAGCAGCCGCGGUAAUACAGAGGGUGCGAGCGUUAAUCGGAUUUACUGGGCGUAAAGCGUGCGUAGGCGGCUUUUUAAGUCGGAUGUGAAAUCCCCGAGCUUAACUUGGGAAUUGCAUUUGAUACUGGGAAGCUAGAGUAUGGGAGAGGAUGGUAGAAUUCCAGGUGUAGCGGUGAGAUGCGUAGAGAUCUGGAGGAAUACCGAUGGCGAAGGCAGCCAUCUGGCCUAAUACUGACGCUGAGGUACGAAAGCAUGGGGAGCAAACAGGAUUAGAUACCCUGGUAGUCCAUGCCGUAAACGAUGUCUACUAGCCGUUGGGGCCUUUGAGGCUUUAGUGGCGCAGCUAACGCGAUAAGUAGACCGCCUGGGGAGUACGGUCGCAAGACUAAAACUCAAAGGAAUUGAC